AAAAAAAAAAAAAAAAAAAAAAAACUUAUCUGCAUCAAUGAUAGCAGAAUAAAAAGAGUAAAGAGUCAUCGCAGAUUAUCAGUAAUUUUCUUGACGUUAGCACCUCUGUAUAAGUGCUCACCUUAAGACAACUCACCAUCAAUAGAAUUAGGUAAUUUAAUUGAUUUGCGUCGAAGCAUGUAUCGUUAUUUUUAGAACGAAGUUCCUGAUGAUAGGCUUGAAAAAGAUGAGGAUUCUGUUCAACCAAACUAAAAAAAUAUAUGAAAAAACGAUGACAUCUCACGAAGCUGAUGCAGGCGGAAUGCGCAACCCUUCUGCGGAUGAUGAGCUCGUCACAAGGAAAUAAACAAUCAUCAAAUGAAUCGGAUGGUUUUUUAACGUUAUGGAAUGAAUAAAUCGAUAAUUAUGUAAUUAUUUAGUAUUUAGUUCUAGAGGGUUAGGCUAAUAGACCGGGAACUCCAGAGUUUUAAUUUAUUGAAAAUAGGUUUGUUUUAAUAAAUUGAUCUAUUUAACUAAUUUUAAUACAUAAUAUUGUUCAAAUUUAAAAUUAAUAUUGUCAAUUAAAUUUGAAUUAUUACACAGUGAUUAAAAGUUAACUUUUCUUUUAUAUAACGAAUUUUCGAUGUUAUUAAAUCCACAAAUAUUAAUAAUGGAAAAUAAAUAAAUCUUUCC
rnacentral:lncRNA from 1 species